rnacentral:rRNA from 1 species
ACGCAAUCUCUGCUCUAGUCUAAACGACUCUCGGCAACGGAUAUCUCGGCUCUUGCAUCGAUGAAGAACGUAGCGAAAUGCGAUGCUUGGUGUGAAUUGCAGAAUCCCGCGAACCAUCAAUUUUUUGAACGCAAGUUGCGCCCGAGGCCAUUCGGCCGAGGGCACGCCUGCCUGGGCGU